CCCCCUAAGUCCUGCGCCUCGCGGAAGUCCUAGCACCACCACGUUUGCACACUCAUCCCUGCCUCUGCGGUGGGGGCGGGGGGAGAUGGGUGGGGUGCUUCUGGCUCAGGAGACCCAGCCACCUGCAAAAGGUGUGGCCCUGUGGCUUUGGAAGGUGAAGAGGGCCGCGGGUUGCCUGGGUGAGGCUACCUGUGAAUUGCCUCGGGAAGACCAAAUGGAUGCAAUGGAUUCGGCCAUGUGGAUGCAGCUCACGUUUCUGCGAAGUUGAGAGAGUAAAUCACGACUGCUGUGCAUGUAUGCACGAAUAAAAUGACACAGAGCUUUUUACCCCUUGGCUUCGUAGAAGGCUUUCUCCUUGCACACAGUGGGCGCUUCAUAAGCCUUAAGUGCCUGUUCAGAGGGAUUUGAUGGGCUGUCCAGAAUGGGAACUAAUCAUGAGAAUGGUUUGCAAAAUGACAUUGAAAACAGAAUUCUGAUGAGUAAUUGUCAGGCUUUGAAAUUUUCAAAGUUUCAACAUACCUCCUUAAUGGCCUUUCCCAUCUCUUCUGAUGAAAGUGAGAUAAAAGAGCGAGCGAGGCUCUCAAGUUCUGGUGGUCUUAAAAGUGGUUUUGAUAAGAGUAGCAAACCUGCUGAUUCAUAUCAUGUCUGAGUAGUCAUAAUUAAAAGUGCUCCGAGUACAAAAUAAAUUUCUCAUUAUGGCUUACACUCUAGCGAUGCAGAGUUUCAAGAGAAAUUUUCCUAGUUCACUUUUCUCCUCCUACUCCUUAAUCUAAAUGGGGAUGAUAAAUGUAAAUAAUAGAAUUGUAAAAGUAUGCAUUAUGUGAAUAUGUGUGGAUGGUAGCCCCUGACCUGCAAAAAACUCAUCCUAUGUCCCAUCCAUUUCAUCAGUUGUAGCAGGAUAAACAAAAUUUCAUGUAAGUUGAGUAAUAAUUUUACCUGGUUGCCUACCUACUUAGCUGAUUAAAAGACAAUAUAAAUAUUUAAUUUAGGGCUAACAGGAAUUAAACACAAUUAUUCCUUUUGAAUUAACUUGCAGUCAGAUGAUUUAGACAAGCAGUUGGUAAAUCAUAAGUUUCUUUCUUGAGUUGGCAGAAGUUGGCCCAGGAUUGUAGAGAUAUCUUUUAGGAGGGUCAAGGGUUUAUGAAUUGUCUGAAAUUAAACUAUUAAGUGAUGAUAUCUACUCCCAAAGGGCUAAUAUUUUUCUUUUAAUGGUGAAAGUAUUGAAAACUUAAGUUUAGAUUGUUUGGCAGAGAUAAGAAUUAUUAUACUUGGGAAACAGUUUGAUCCAGAAAACUUUUUGAAAAAUAGAUGUUAAAAUGAGCAAAUACUUGAAUCCAAAACUUGAAGAGCAUCUCUGGAACUGCUGAGAUGAGAAGAGGCCCCUCACCUUUAAAGGGCAGCUGGCCGUACAGAGAUAGGAAUUGAUCUCAUGAAGAGGAACAACAUCCGGGUUAGUUGGCACUGUAUAAAUAUACUCUGGAUGAGGGGCUAAGAGUAAAAAUAUGAAAGUACUUAUGAAAGCUCUACAUUUUUAUGAUUUAUUGUGGUUUACUCUAUACACUUUUGGAGAUAAUGAGAUUUUUAAAUAAGUGGUUGCUUUACUGGUUCAAUGUCUUAAUCAGCUAGUGGCCACAUUAAAGAUUCAUGAAAAGACCCAAGAUGUGAGUGUUAUUUUACUUUCAUUCAUGGGUCUUAUUUAGUCUUGUAGAUAACCUUGAGAGGGUUAGAGAUAUGACUCUUUUUGAACAGUUACCAUUUAAUCACUAGUCAAAAGCCCUGACCGAAUUUUCAAAGCCUGUAGUUUUUACUAUGCCUAUUCUUUAUCAUUCAAAUCACUACAUUAACUUGUGAAUGGCAGUCUUUCCUGUAAAUGAAUACUUCGAUGCAUUUUUAUGUGCAUGGCGGUUCUGACUAUUGAACCAACAGCGUCACCUUCAGAACACACCCUUUUUACCUUGCAGCUCCAUCCGCAGCUUGUCUUUGCCUCUUCCCAUUUCUAGUUAGGGACAAGGGCCUGUGGCUUCAAAGACAAAGAAAUGUGCUUUCAGUAGCCGUUGUCUUAAGCAGUUUUCUCCUCCUUGAAGAUGCUAUACCUCUUCUGAUUUGCUUUCCGCUUUUAUGCCUUUCAUCUUCCUGCUAGUUCGGUAAUGGAGUGAGUUCCCAUCCCAGUGAAAAGCCCAAGUAUUCUAAGCCAAAGCCUUCUCACACCUGCUCGCUUACAUUGCCUUAAAACACCCCACAGCCUGGUAACUGAAGUGGUACUCUCACAGCCCUGGUGUCAGUCCACACAGAGCCCUGGUGUCGUUUCCUGGAGACCAGAGAAGCUUCUCAUGAGUGUAACUGACCAGGAAGCACCAUAGUGACUCCUGCCUGCUUGAAAGGGAUCAGACACACCUCUGCAGCUUGUCACCUUCUGACUGUGGACAGCUUGUCACCCUCUGACUUAUGUACACGGUGUCUGUUUUGUAAAACGAAGAUAAUAAAAACGUCUGCCUCAUAAGGUGUUAAAUGGGGACUAAAUGAGAUUAUAUUGGUAAAAGACUCAUCUACGGUAUUAAAUCAUCUACAUCAUUCAA